rnacentral:lncRNA from 1 species
CUUUGGCCAGGAUCCACGCAUUCUGUCGCUUGGGCCAGAAUCAGACUCUGAUAGUGAGUCGCUCCAUUUUGUCGCUUUGGCCUUAAUGGAUGGGAGUUAUUUUGUCGCUUUGGCCUUAAUAACAUCCUUUCAUCUUGUCGCUUUGGCCUUGAUGAUAACACAGAAAGAGUCGCUCCUGAUCAGAGUCGGACUAUAAACACGUAGUUCUACUGGCCUGGAACUAGAUUCUAAUAGUGAAUCAACCCAUCUGAUAGUGCAUGGGUAACGGAGUCAUCGUGUCG